rnacentral:misc_RNA from 1 species
AUAAGAUUUUCUGAAAUUAUUAUUAUUGCAUUCUCAGAAGACUUUAGCAUAUCAUUACUUCCUGCAUAAGUCACAGGAUCUGGUGCAGUCUCAGCAGCACAAUUAUGAAGAGGCUCAGCUAGUGAGGAAGAUAUACAAUCCCCCAGAGAAUUGGUGGUGUGAUUUGGCAAUUUAGCGGCACUGGCUAAUGGUGCUGUUCUGGGCCUCUCAAAAGCAGCAUUCACUCCUGUUCGCAUAAAAUUUGAUGGGUCAGCAACACCAGUUCUUGUGUCAGAUCCAGCAUUCUUCUUCACUUCAUCUGUACCUGAAGAGUUCAGCCGAUAAACAGAGGAACUCAAACCAUGAGAGCUCUGGGAUUGAGCAGCCAUUGUGGUAGGUUUUCUGACGAGACUAUUACCCUUACGAAUGUAAGAGGUGUUCUCGAACUUUGUUAUCUGUUUAUGCAAUUUCCGUUGUGUAGGAACAGUGCUUGAAAA